rnacentral:rRNA from 1 species
CUCGUUUUACCAGCUGGAACACCUCCUUAGAGUUGAUCAUGGCUCAGCUGGAACACCUCCUUAGAGUUGAUCAUGGCUCAGAGUUGAUCCUGGCUUAGAGUUGAUCAUGGCUCAGCUGGAUCACCUCCUUAGAGUUUGAUCAUGGCUCAGAUUGAACUGCUGGCUGGCAGUGCCUAACACAUGCAAGUCUGAACGGUAUGCACAGAGAGCUUGCUCUCGGGUGACGAGUGGCGGACGUGGUGAGUAAUGUCUGGGAAACUGCCCUGAUGGAGUGGNGUGAUAACUACUGGAAACGGUAGCUAAUACCGCAUAACUGUCUGCAAUGACCAAAGAGUGGGGACCUUCGGGCCUCUUGCCAUCGGAUGUGCCCAGAUGGGAUUAGCUUGUAGUGUGAGUGUAACGGCUCACCUAGUGCGACGAUCCCUAGCUGGUCUGAGAGUGAUGACCAGCCACACUGGAACUGAGACACGGUCCAGACUCCUACGGGAGGCAGCAGUGGUGGAAUAUUGCCACAAUUGGGCUGCAAGCCUGAUAGCAUGCCCAAUGCCCGCGGUGGUAUUUAAAGAAAGGGCC